CCCGCUGAACUUAAGCAUAUCAAUAAGCGGAGGAAAAGAAACUAACAAGGAUUCCCCCAGUAACUGCGAGUGAAGAGGGAAGAGCUCAAAUUUAGAAUCUGGCAGUCAUCAGGCUGUCCGAGUUGUAAAUUGGAGAAGUGUUAUCUGCGCUGGCCUGUGCAUAAGUCUCUUGGAAAAGAGCAUCAUAGAGGGUGACAAUCCCGUCUUUGGCACAGACUACCAGGGCUUUUGUGAUGCGCUCUCAACGAGUCGAGUUGUUUGGGAAUGCAGCUCCAAAUGGGUGGUAAAUUCCAUCUAAAGCUAAAUAUUGGCGAGAGACCGAUAGUGCACAAGUACCGUGAGGGAAAGAUGAAAAGAACUUUGGAAAGAGAGUUAAACAGUACGUGAAAUUGUUGAAAGGGAAACGCUUGAAGUCAGUCAUGUCUCACUGAAAUCAACCUGGCACUUGUCUGGUGUACUUUCUGUGGGACAGGUCAGCAUCAGUUCUGAUUGCUGGAAAAAGGCCUUGGGAAUGUGACAUCUUUUCGAAGAUGUGUUAUAGCCCUCGGACCACAUACAGCGAUUGGGACUGAGGAACUCGAUGUGUGAAAUAACACAUUCAAGGAUGCUGGCAUAAUGGCUUUAAUCGACCCGUCUUGAAACACGG
rnacentral:rRNA from 1 species